AUUUGAAAGAGCUACGAUAUUCAUACACUGAUAUGCUCAGAAUUCUGUUUAUAUGUAUAUAUAUGCAUUAAAAAAUGUGCAAUGUACAAAAAGCAUAUUUGAAGCUCCUCUGCAGCCCACAGAAAAGUUCUUUAAUCUUUCCUUAUGCAGCAGAUCUACUUAGCAGUGGCGCAGGGAAGAGCCCACCGAACCAGAAGUGAUCUUCGCGGCUGAGGGGCCAGCUCCCAUGCCUGCAACAUUGACACCCCUUUACUCACAAAUGCAGCAAUCAAGUCAACAUCGAAUAUGGUGGUGCUAGCAGUAUUUUGGUGACUCAGUUGUGUUUCUAACUCAGAGAAGUUAGAUAUUCGCUGUGCAUCUUGUUUGCAGCAAGCAAAUUCAUGAUUACCAAUUGAGAAUUCAAGAACCAAAAACAAAAUAAAAUGGAGGCAGAUGAUAAAAGAUGGCGUGAGAAAAAGGAGAGUUUCCCGACAGGAAAGAGCAUCCAAUAAUCAAUACCAGAUUAACAUAUUAUUGGCCAUUAAGUAACUUUCAAGAAAUGUCUAGUUUUAAAAGCAUCUCCGGUUUUACCUUGUUUGCCAGGAACGUGGGAGUUCUCCAGCAAAGAGCAACCGAAUCCUCCCUUAGCCUGCCAAAUGAGGGAUCGAAGAAUUUGAUAAGUACUUGCAGUGCGG
rnacentral:lncRNA from 1 species